rnacentral:miRNA from 1 species
UGGGCUUGUUGGAGGAAGUGUGUCACUGGGGGUGGGCUUUGAGGUUUCAGAAGCUCAAGCCAGGCCCAGUGGCUCUCUCUGUUCCUGCUGCCUAUGGAUC